rnacentral:rRNA from 1 species
AUUGAACGCUGGCGGCAGGCCUAACACAUGCAAGUCGAACGAGUGGCGGACGGGUGAGUAAUGUCUGGGAAACUGCCCGAUUGAGGGGGAUAACUACUGGAAACGGUAACUAAUACCGCAUACCAUCGGAUGUGCCCAUAUAGGAUUAGCUAGUAGGUGGGGUAACGGCGAACCUAGGCGCCGAUCCCUAGCUGGUCUGAGAGGAUGACCAGCCACACUGGAACUGAGACACGGUCCAGACUCCUACGGGAGGCAGCAGUGGGGAAUAUUGCGCAAUGGGCGCAAGCCUGAUGCAGCCAUGCCGCGUGUAUGAAGAAGGCCUUCGGGUUGUAAAGUACUUUCAGCGAGGAGGCGUUACUCGCAGAAGAAGCACCGGCUAACUCAGUGCCAGCAGCCGCGGUAAUUC